rnacentral:tRNA from 1 species
GGGCGCUUAGCUCAGCUGGUUCAGAGCGUACGCCUCACACGCGUAAGCACAUGUGUGUUGCUUCAUAGCAUUUCUGACAACUCAUCGAAGAUCGUAACUGGAGCAGAGGUUUUUCCUCUACCACCUGCCA